CCUGCGUGAGGCACAUAUCGGCCCAGAGCUCUUAUAAUAAACCUGCCUCGUGCCAGUUUGCAGCAAGACAGUCUUUGGAGUAUUUUUGGGUCUGUGUCCCUUCAGGGUCUCCCUUGGGGGAGUCUUUCAGCCUCAAGGAAGAUACCAUAUAUAGGCCAUCAGCAAACACAAGUCAAAGAGAAGUGAAAUCAUUUGCCUGAAGUUACCAAGGCACAAAGAUCCCAUUGACAAAAACAAACAAACAAAAAACAAAAAACCACCAUCAAUAGUGGAGGGGCUGAUGGAAGAAAGGCAUUGGGAUGUGAAGAGACAGACAUGUCCUAUGAGCUACAUGGCACAUGUGCAGGAAACAAGAAAAGGAGUCCAGAGUCUAGAAAUGCCUGUGAGACUUGGCAUGGGGAGCAUGAACACUUGGAGCGCUGUUUCUCACAAGAUCUAAUUAUUCCCACAAGAAAAAAGAGAAAAAAGAAAGAAAGAAAAGACUUUGGACUUCUCUGGUUGUGUGUUUGUAAGAAUGGCCCAAGCUCUGCUGGAGGUUGAAUGCUUUGCUCUAACAAGGGCCUGAUAUAAGGGCUUGAUUAAACCAACAAAAGGCAAAA